UACGAGGGGGGCAAAUGUUGUUCGGAAUCACUGGGCGUAAAGGGAGCGUAGGCGGGUUUCUAAGUAAGGUGUUUAAUCCCGGGGCCCAACCCCGGACAGGCAUUUUAAACUGGAAAUCUUGAAUAGUGGAGAGGUCAGUGGAAUUGGGGGUGUAGCGGUGGAAUGCGUAGAGAUCCCCAAGAACACCAGUUGCGAAGGCGGCUGACUGGACACAUAUUGACGCUGAGGCUCGAAAGCAUGGGGAGCAAACAGG
rnacentral:rRNA from 1 species